rnacentral:rRNA from 1 species
CACCAGCGCCCCGAGUGGCAAUCACGAUUAUUGGGCCUAAAGCGUCCGUAGCAGGUCUUGUAAAUCCUUUGUGAAAUCGGCAAGCUUAACUUGUCGGCGUGCAGAGGACACUACAGGACUCGAGACCGGGAGAGGUCAGAAGUAUUUCCUGGGUACCGGUAAAAUGGGUUAAUCCAGGGAGGACUACCAAUGGCGAAGGCAUCUGACCAGAACGGAUCUGACUGUGAGGGACGAAAGCUAGGGGAGCAAAACGGAUUAGAUACCCGCGUA